AUUGAACGCUAGCGGGAUGCUUUACACAUGCAAGUCGAACGGAGUGGCGGACGGGUGAGUAAUCUAUCGGCACGUGCCCAGUAGCGGGGGAUAACUACUCGAAAGAGUGGCUACUACCGCAUACUAUUUGAGCGGCCGAUAUCGGAUUAGCUAGUUGGUGGGGUAAAGGCUCACCGAGGCAACGAGCCGUAGCUGGGUUGAGCGGACGAACAGCUAAACUGGGACAGAGACACUGCCCAGACUCCUACGGGAGGCAGCAGUGGGGAAGUGUGGACAAUGGGGGAACGCCUGAUACAGCCAUCCCGCGUGGAUGAUGAAGGCAUUAGGGUUGUAAAGUACUUUUGGUAGAGAAGCGGUAUCUGCAGAAUAAGCACCGGCUAACUACGUGCCAGCAGCCGCGGUAAUUC
rnacentral:rRNA from 1 species